GUCACUACAUGUAAAUCAGCUGGGCAAUGAACUGGCCUUCAUCAGCAUGCGCACAUUACAUGAGUGGGAAAAAUCAAAAAAAUCAAAAUGAGUUAAAUUCGUAGUUCACUGUGGCCUACGAAAGCAUUUACACACUAGUUAAAUACAACAUUGAUAAAUAAGGCCCGUUAUUUUGUUGUUGUGCAUAACAUUUAGAUUAACUGUAACAAAAAACAAAACAAAAACAAAAAAAAAGUAUAGCUGCUGAUUGUUUAUGGCACACAAGCCUUGCAUCUCACUUGUACCACUGUGUCUGUGACAAAGCCAGCAUGUGUGGAGGGGGGAACAAGAGCAGCAUCGGGGGUCAAUGUCACAGAGAAGGCUGUGUGGGCAGCCAAGCAGAGAUAGAGAAAUGGAGGAUGGGUGAGGUGGAGUGCCGAGGCUCAGAGAGAGUGAACAGGGUGAGAGAGGAAAAGCAGAAUGAACAGAGAAAAACAGGGAUAAAGGUCAGUGUGCAUGCGCGCGUGUGUGUGUGUGUGUGUGCGUGUGCGUGUGUGUGUGUGUGUGUGCAUGCAUAUACAGUAUGAGUGUAGGUGAGGUUCAAGAAUUAUUUAGUGAGUGAGAGAGAGAGAAAAACAAAGACAAGGAGUCACACACUGGAUGUAGCACAGGCAACAAAAAUGUGCUGAUAUCAGAUGGACAAGAGAAGAACUAACAAAGUAAACAAAAUCAAGAACUGCAGGAAGAGAUUCUGUGGCUGAAGUGGAACAAGGUGCUGAAAAGUCUAGACAAAAGGAGAGCAGGAGCAGCCAUGGCACAGACCCGGCUCACCAUGGCAACUGUAGGAACGAGGGGAAGACAGCGGCACCAUCCACUCUGCACACAGUCCAGCCUGUGCGGCCACGUUACAGCGGGGGUGUAUGUGCGAGCCUGCAGGCUAAGAAGUCCCAGUAACACAAUUACUCCCAGGCCAUCUAAUCUACAGCUGCACAACCAGCAAAGGGGCACCAAGGCACACGAGUGUGUGUGUUAGCAAAACUAAGUGCACACAGCAUACACACUUGUCAAGUCUAGUUUUAUCCAAGUCAAAGAAACUAUGUGGCUAAGUAAGAGGAUUCUUUUCCACAAAAAAAACACUGCUUUCAAUCAUUGCAAACCAGUAAUACUUUGUGCAUCCAAUACUUUCUUUCUCCAUUUUGUACAUCAUUAAUGUUUGUCCACAACUAGCUUAAUAGCCAAAUGAGAAAAAACUCCACACAAUUCUUUAUAUGCUGCCAACAUUCUAAAAUGAUCCUGCAAAACCUCAUAUUACGCUUUGAAAAUAUUUCGUUUAAAACUACUAAAUUUUAGUUUUAAAAAUAAACAGAAAAUUUUCACACCCAUUACCUCAGUGGACUCUUUUGAACAGCACUGGACAUUUAGUUAAUUCUUUUUUUAGUUUUGUUUAUUAAAAAAACAAACAAACAAACAAAAAAACAAAGUACACACAUGCACUUUAUUCAUCACUGUCAUGCUAUAAUUAUACCACUGUAUUUCAUCAGUAACUAUCGUUUCAUAUGCUGCAUUAAUUGUCAAUUUAUUUCUCCCUUCACAGCUAAAUGCCACUUUAUUUCUUUUGCUUUUCAUUUGCUAAUCUACGUUUGCACAUUUUUCCACUUACUCUUGUUUUAUUUUUAUCUUAAUGUAUUGCAUUCUAUACUAUUCUACACAGUUGUAAAAAAGCAUUUUGUUGUGUCCUACUGUAUAUGAUUGUGUAUGUGACCAAUAGAAUUUUUAUUUUAAAUAUAUUCUUAUCAUUUUUAUAAGCUCUAUUAUAAAUUAAAAUGCAUCCCAAUCACUGUACCAAAGCUCCACCUGUACGAACUAUAAUAAACUUCACUAGUUGCA